UAUGCAGGCUUACUCUCCCUCUUAUGCAAGUUCUCUCCCUGUUUUCUCUCCCUGAAUUCAAGAGGUGGUUCACAGAGCUUGGAGAAGGCAUUUUGAAUACAAACUACUCUUAGUGUGGGCCUUUUAUUUGCCAUUCAGAUGUGUUCUAUCCUACUUGCAGGGCAUGGUCCUCAGUUUCCCAUCUCACCUAGUAGUCUGCUAAUCAGAGUUUUUUAGCGUCAAGGCAUGUGUAGACUUCACUGUUACUAGUAGUGUGGGAAUCAAAUGAUGUUUCUGCAUUAGAAUUGGAUAAUAUAUAUAUUUUUUAUUUCAUGAUCUCCGCUAUCAUAGUUCUUUUUGGGAGUCCUUCUACUUAACCCGGGGAAGCUCUCUGAUAGUUUACAUCACUGAUCCUCCAGACAAAACUUCCCAGGCACGCACACUCUGUAUAUAGGUGUAUAGAUGCACAUUUUGUCAUACACACUGCAGGAAUAUCCUGCACGAGAGCAAACCAGAGAACAAGGGAUGGCCUGCCCGAGGAAGCGCCUGAAGAGACAUCGGAAGGCCUGGCAUCAUCCCCAGUGCUCUUUGCUUAACGAAGACUUUAAAGAAAAUCACCAUAUCAAUACGGCAAGGAGAGCACCAAGACAGCUUGGAAACAACAGGACGGCUGCAGACUGACAGCAGGGCUUGCUGGCUAAGGACCAAGGAGCAUCAGAAAGCUUUCUUCUCUCUGCUUUCUACAGCACUUGAAAUCAGAGCAAGAAGCUGAGACACAACCGAGCAUGGGAACGGUCAGACUUCAGUGCCUUCAAAGAAAAAGGGAGACGAGAGGAAGAGAAGUUCCAAAACCUCUUUUCAGUUGUGACAAUGAAGAUAAGCAUUUCUAGGUAUACGUCUGCAAAAUGAAGCUAAAGUAUAGCUUCAAGACAACAGUGCUACAGUGACUGCCAAGUACUUGAGGCCACAUCUACAGCAUGGGAACAGAUACAUCUUGAGCUGGCAGCGAUCUGCACACUGCUUCAUAAACCUGCAAUGCUGGGGAGUUGAGUGCAGUAACAGAGACGCUCUUGCUCUGUGCAUGGUCAUUAAAAAGCUGCAGAACUGUGCAAGAAGUUUCAUUCUAUUGUGGGACUUUUCCAGAUCAUGGGUUCAUGAACACUAUCUUACUCCUGAGAGCUGGUAGGUCCUGCAUCUGAUCUCAGUCCCUGCACGGAUCUUGCCUGAGUUCAGCCACGGAAAUGGUCAUCAUGGGGGUUAAAAUGAAUCUGAUUUCAUCCAGCCUAGAACACACAGGAUACACAUCAAAGGUGGAUUUCUGUCUGAGUUCCUCAUGGAUUUCAAUUUCAAUCAACAGCUGCAGGCCUAUUUUUUCCUUGUUUUAGAAGCAGAAAUCAUGGCCAAGGCUCCGGCAGCCAGGCCAGCAAAUAGUGACAAGUAGUGUAAACUGAUCUGGCAGGCUUCAUUAAGGGCCAAUUAAAAACCAGCAAUCCCCAAGGUUUUUGUGAUACGAGUGCAUGUGAAUUACUCACUCCCUAGGGUGAGAUGCAGUGAUAAUGUUCAACUGCCCGGAGAGUGGAACAAAGACUACUGUGUGAAAUUACAUGUUGUGACAGCAUAACAUGCAAAAUUCCAUCCCCCAACAAGGCUCUUCCUCUCAAAAAAAAAAACAAAAAACCUUGAUUACCUAAAAACAAGUCAGCCUAUUCCCAAGGGAGCUGAAUGACAUAGAAAAUUCAAGACACCUGCAUAAGGUUUAAGUACAAACUCAACAUUUGAGCCCUGAACUCAGGAUGUUUUGCUUUUUUUCCAAUACAAAGUCCAUAAUUCUCCCAAUUUUUAGAUUUUACUUUUUUUUCCCCAAGAAAUAUUUGACAAUGGACUUCCCGUACUGGAUCAAGUAGUAUUAUAUCAGAAUGCCAAUAAUUAGGGUUCUCUGAUUUUUUUGUUCUUGGUGCAAGAUUUUCUUGCCUUGUGCCUAAAACAGCCUUAUAGUUCUACUAUUUGCUUGCAACCUGAUGGUUUUCUUUGCUCCACAGGGUGAUGGAUCCAGAGUUUCUAACCAAAGACUUCAGGAUAAUAUUUCCCUUUUCAAUCCAAAAUGCUUAGAUCACUGGACCAGACAAAAGGUUCCAAUCCCAACUAUUGCCACUUCACACUGUUUUACUUGAUUCUUUCUGUACUCAUUUUUUGCAAAUUAAAUUUGCAAAUUAAAUAUGGAAUUGAAUGUUUUACACUGAUUUAUUUUUUUAAAGCCACGCAACAUCAAGAGCAGUAUGUUAGCUAGUGAUCUUGAUCUGAUUUGUAGGCACAGAGUGGAUACAGUAGAAAGAAGCUGCACUGAGUUCAUACAGCUCAAGUAGAGGAAGCUACAUUAAGGUAACAACAAACAGAAGAGUAAGAUUUGCCAUUUACCACUUGAAAUUGUAGAGUUCUAGUGUCCAUCCAUGCUUCACUACUUUAUCUAGAGAGUCAGGAAAAGCAGAUACAUAACCAUUAACAUUAUAAUUGAAAAGUGGGAAACAAUUCUGCAAGAUUCCACAGGAGAGGAUUCCUAGUUCAGUCAGAAAACUGUCCAAGUUUCCUUCUUUCUCUGGAUUGUAUCUAUGACCAGAAGUUCAGAAGACAAAAAAAGAACUGUUGAAGUUGUCUCAUACUCAGAGAUCACCACAUCUAAGAGGCAGAGCAGAGCUUCUUAGCUGUCUCACAAUUUUCACCUCAUCUAAGACUCUUCCACUGUUGCAGGUUCUGCAUUUUACAUCCAUUCAGGAUUUCAAACACAUCUGGAAAUGCUUUAAUGAGAUUAUAUCUAGUGAGCACUGUACACUGUACACCAUGCCAUUUGCAAGGGUCUACCCAGCAUUUAAUCCUUUUCAGACCAGGAGCUAGAAGAAUAAGAGAUCAUUAAUUUAAGCUCUUUUGCUUAAUUGAGUCUGCAUGGGCAUCAUUUCUCUCCUUUAGACUUUACAGAAGUCAUCUUCCAUGCACAAAUUGUUCUUUGAUUUCUGAAAGUUAGAGCUUGGUGAGAAGGAAUCAAAGGUGUGAGCAUUUUCCUGCUGUCAUUUUCCCUACAUAACUUAGAGAUUGAUUUAGACAGAUCUCAAAUAAUCCCAGUGCCUGAAACUAAUCUUUUAACUCUAGGAGUUAUAAACUCUCUCCUGUUCUUAGGCUGACAUUGAAACCACAGAAUAGAAAACAACUCCUUGGUUUUGCAGCAUAAUGCUCUCACACCUGGAUGAGCAUUUCCAGCAAUAUAUCCUUCAUUACGAAGCCUGAGAACUGAAAAAUAUCACUACUUGUUUUGGCCUCUGAAUACAGUCCUGUCACAACAGAUGACAUUCAAAUGGGAAUCCUGAGUUGAAAAACAUCAAUAGGUGACUUUCAGCAAUGCUUUUGCUCUUAAAAGCAAGGAUGAAAUCCUGUGCUCACUGUUUUCUAUUGGCUAUUUCUAUGCUGAGCAUUAACGUUUCUCACCGACCCCCCCAGGGUAGUUAAUUCUGAGCUUCAUGUGUUGGGACUGAAUGCAAUACUCACAGUAUUGUAGUGCAGAACUGGAAUUCUUCAAGUAAAUAUUCCAUACCUAAAAGCAUUACAUCUGUAUCACAACACUUCAAGUUGUUAGUCUUAUUUCUAAGCAAAUUCACAGUAGCAUCUCAGGGUGUACAGAGGAACCCCAUCCGAUUCAAAAAUUCUUCCCAGUUCCUGCAUUCACUGAGUACUGCCAAGUUCCAGCUUUCUCAGCUCAGAUGUAGUACCACGUGCAUCUAAGCAUUUCUUUUCUAGGGAUACAAUAUCACAAGUGAUUCAAACAUUAUCUAUCUCUUGUGUCAAAUAAGCUUUCCAAGUACUGCUACAAUCAGCAGUGUAGCCAAGCAAGCAAUUAAUUUAACAUAACUUAUUACAGACAAAAUGGGAUUUAAAUUUCGUUGUUGACUUGCGAGUAAAGCAAGUAAAUAGUUUCUUUUCUUUAGUGUCAGCACCUUACUUGAUUUGGAUUUCCACAAAACAAAAUUAGUAGGGAAAAGCCCACAGUUCUCAGCUAACUGCCUGUCAUCAACGUCUGUUUGGGCACUUAGUGCACAGCGUGUUUACCCCUUUUUAAUUAAGGGAACUCUAGUAUAGUUUUCCACAUAGGCAUCGUUUUCUUGCUAUGAACGACUUGCACCACACCAUAAAAUAAUUUCAAAUUAAUAUUAUCUAGUAAAUACUUAGACCUAAUUAAUCCUGUUGCUUUAACUUUAUCAGUUGCUUCUUUUAGACCUCAUUGAAAGCAAGACGGAGGAUGAUGAGGACAUUUUCAGUUCAUACUCUCCCGGAUCCAUAGACCUUAAUUAAAGCCUUCACUACACAUGUCCAUUCUGGUACCAGCUGACUCCAUACCUGCACUAAAGCUAAUUAAACCUGGCUAUCAGGACCAUAUUCAGAAUUACCGAUUAACAAUAUCCAAAACAAAACCAGUAGCAAAACCCUCCCCCCAAAAAAUAAAACAAAAACAUAAAACCAAAAUCAGCUACAAAAUGAAGGAGUCUGGUGCUGGGCCACGGCUCCAGCCGCGGUGCAAAGGGCUGGGGGUCUCAUAGCAGCCCCCUGCAGGAGCACUUCUUCGUGUCCUUGGGGCUGGGAGAUCAUAACCACUGCCAGAUAAACAGCUGGUUGUUGUGAUCCCAAGUAUGGACUUCUACCCUUCUUUUGUGGAGGGCUAAAAGACACAGUUUUAUGGAUUCUCUUCAUCCCUUGCAUAAACACAAACAAUGGAUGCAUGGCAACUACCCUGUGUUGCUGAGCUGUUUGGAAUAGAAAUUGUACUACCAUCUUUUGACUGUAAGGAGAACUACACCUUUAGAGUAUCUCCCUCCUCUAUUAAGUCACUAUAUUAAGUAACCUCCUUUAAUCCAGUGAAUGAAACAAAAAUACAUUUUGAUAUGGUGACAAAAGACAUCCAGCACAGUCAAUGAGCUGAGUCUCUUAUGAAAAGCAGUCUGGUUUGAAUGUACCCACAAGAAGGUCUGUGAUUUUGGAUAAUUGCAUUACACUCAAGAGAAGAACCCUAGUCUUAAAUGAGUCAGCUAUGAUGCAUCUACAUCUACUUCCUUUAUCUUACUAAAUUGCUUGCAAUCAGUGCCACUGUUACAGAUCCAUGCUUUUCUCCAGAAUUCUGUGAGAAGUAGAUUGUGUUUUUGCAGUGGAAACUUCCAGUAUUUCUGUACAUAGCACAGGACACUUCGCCUUUCACAAAGAAAGUUGCUGAACAGAGUAAAGUUGAGACUGGGGUGUUCUGACCUAGGUAAAAUUGGCACUAGGUAAUUGGAUUGUUGAAAAUAUUGUCCUUCUAUCACUGUACAAAGUACGGAACGUACCCAAAAACAAUGGGUUGGUGACAGACAUUGUAUGGAAGAGUGAUGUAGCAACAGCAAAAGAUUGUGAGCCUGAGACGCUCAACCAAUGAGUGCCAGGAGAGGCUUUACCUGUGUCGGACCCGGCGUAUGUAACAGAAUAGAUUCCAGUGAUCAGAUUUGCAAUUCCUCCCGUUAGUAGGAGGUUGCACCCAUUAUUGCAAUAAUGAAUAAACUGCUCUUCACAGAGA